rnacentral:rRNA from 1 species
AGUGAACGCUGGCGGUAGGCCUAACACAUGCAAGUCGAACGGCAGCACAGGAGAGCUUGCUCUCUGGGUGGCGAGUGGCGGACGGGUGAGGAAUACAUCGGAAUCUACUUUUUCGUGGGGGAUAACGUAGGGAAACUUACGCUAAUACCGCAUACGACCUACGGGUGAAAGCAGGGGACCUCCGGGCCUUGCGCGAUUGAAUGAGCCGAUGUCGGAUUAGCUAGUUGGCGGGGUAAAGGCCCACCAAGGCGACGAUCCGUAGCUGGUCUGGGAGGCUGAUCAGCCACAGUGGAACUGAGACACGGUCCAGACUCCUACGGGAGGCAGCAGUGGGGAAUAUUGGACAAUGGGCGCAAGCCUGAUCCAGCCAUACCGCGUGGGUGAAGAAGGCCUUCGGGUUGUAAAGCCCUUUUGUUGGGAAAGAAAUCCAGCUGGCUAAUACCCGGUUGGGAUGACGGUACCCAAAGAAUAAGCACCGGCUAACUUCGUGCCAGCAGCCGCGGUAA